UACGUAGGGUGCAAGCGUUGCCCGGAUUUAUUGGGCGUAAAGGGCGCGUAGGCGGCUUGAUAAGCGUGCGGUGAAAGCCCGGGGCUCAACCCCGGGUCGGCCGUGCGAACUGUCGAGCUGGAGCACUGUAGAGGCAGGUGGAAUUCCGGGUGUAGCGGUGGAAUGCGUAGAGAUCCGGAAGAACACCGGUGGCGAAGGCGGCCUGCUGGGCAGUGGCUGACGCUGAGGCGCGACAGCGUGGGGAGCAAACAGG
rnacentral:rRNA from 1 species